GACGAACGCUGGCGGCGUGCUUAACACACGCAAGUCGAACGGAAAGGCCCUGCUUGCAGGGUACUCGAGUGGCGAACGGGUGAGUAACACGUGGGUGAUCUGCCCUGCACUUCGGGAUAAGCCUGGGAAACUGGGUCUAAUACCGGAUAGGAGCCAUUUUUAGUGUGAUGGUUGGAAAGUUUUUUCGGUGUAGGAUGAGCUCGCGGCCUAUCAGCUUGUUGGUGGGGUAAUGGCCUACCAAGGCGGCGACGGGUAGCCGGCCUGAGAGGGUGGACGGCCACAUUGGGACUGAGAUACGGCCCAGACUCCUACGGGAGGCAGCAGUGGGGAAUAUUGCACAAUGGGCGCAAGCCUGAUGCAGCGACGCCGCGUGGGGGAUGACGGCCUUCGGGUUGUAAACUCCUUUCGCUAGGGACGAAGCUUUUUGUGACGGUACCUAGAUAAGAAGCACCGGCUAACUACGUG
rnacentral:rRNA from 1 species